CAGUGAAACUUAAACGGCCGCGGUAUCCUAACCGUGCAAAGGUAGCGUAAUCACUUGUCUUAUAAAUAAAGACCGGUAUGAAUGGCUAAAUGAAUAUUUAACUGUCUCCUUUAACUAAUCAGUGAAACUGAUCUCUCAGUACAAAAGCUGAGAUAAACUUAUAAGACGAGAAGACCCCGUGGAGCUUUAAAUUUUAACAAAAUAUACUUAAAACAUAUUUAUGGUAAAAAAUUUUUAGUUGGGGCGACUUUGGAGCAAAACUAAACCUCCAAGAAAGGGCACCGCCUAACCAAGGCUAACAGGCCAAACUAACCGACCCAGUAUUAUUUACUGAUUAACGAACCAAGUUACCCCAGGGAUAACAGCGCCAUCUUCUUCAAGAGUUCAUAUCGACAAGAAGGUUUACGACCUCGAUGUUGGAUCAGGACACCCAAAUGGUGUAGCCGCUAUUGAAGGUUCGUUUGUUCAACGAUUAAUAGUCCUACGUGAU
rnacentral:rRNA from 1 species